rnacentral:misc_RNA from 1 species
AUGGGACGGCCCGCUGGGCUGUUCCCGCCCCUAUGCCCUUUUUUGGGUUUCCGGCCAGAGGCAUGCUGGGAGCGUCACAUGCAAAUUGAGCGUGCACCCAGCGUUCCGCCCUUUCUACGCUGGGCCGGUUAUCGACCCGGCCCAGUGCGCAGGCGCGGGAAAGUUGAACUAAUAAAGUUUGUACGAGUUCAGUGGAGGAGACCGCAAGUUGAGUGGAGGAGGCGGCGGUGGGGCCCCGGACCAGGUGCCUCCAUGGCAGGCUCUGAAGAGCUGGGGCUCCGGGAAGACACGCUGAGGGUCCUAGCUGCCUUCCUUAGGCGUGGUGAGGCUGCCGGGUCUCCUGUUCCAACUCCACCUAGCCCUGCCCAAGAAGAGCCAACAGACUUCCUGAGCCGCCUUCGAAGAUGUCUUCCCUGCUCCCUGGGGCGAGGAGCAGCCCCCUCUGAGUCCCCUCGGCCUUGCUCUCUGCCCAUCCGCCCCUGCUAUGGUUUAGAGCCUGGUAAGAGAUUUCCAUGAUCAUCUAUGAAGCCGGCAGAACACGGGAUAAGGCCCAGCUACUCCAGACUUCUAUGCUUUGGUGGCCCAGCGGCUGGAACAGCUGGUCCAAGAGCAGCUGAAAUCUCCGCCCAGCCCAGAAUUACAGGGUCCCCCAUCGACAGAGAAGGAAGCCAUACUGCGGAGGCUGGUGGCCCUGCUGGAGGAGGAGGCAGAAGUCAUUAACCAGAAGCUGGCCUCGGACCCCGCCCUGCGCAGCAAGCUGGUCCGCCUGUCCUCCGACUCUUUCGCCCGCCUGGUGGAGCUGUUCUGUAGCCGGGAUGACAGCUCUCGCCCAAGCCGAGCAUGCCCCGGGCCCCCGCCUCCUUCCCCGGAGCCCCUGGCCCGCCUGGCCCUAGCCAUGGAGCUGAGCCGGCGCGUGGCCGGGCUGGGGGGCACCCUGGCCGGACUCAGCGUGGAGCACGUGCACAGCUUCACGCCCUGGAUCCAGGCCCACGGGGGCUGGGAGGGCAUCCUGGCUGUUUCACCCGUGGACUUGAACUUGCCAUUGGACUGAGCUCUUUCUCAGAAGCUGCUACAAGAUGACACCUCAUGUCCCUGCCCUCUUCGUGUGCUUUUCCAAGUCUUCCUAUUCCACUCAGGGCUGUGGGGUGGUGGUUGCCCUACCUGUUUUUGCCAAAAAUAAAUUGUUUAAAACUUUUCUUAUUAAAAACGUUACAAAGUA